rnacentral:hammerhead_ribozyme from 1 species
AUCUAGCUGACGAGUUCCAAAUAGGACGAAACACACGUCCUGGAU